GAAAACUCUUGAGGCUACACAACACAUGGCACUAAAAUUCUUCCCUUAAAAACUCAGCAUUGCCCACUCUAGCUACCUACCUUGAAAUGACUAAAUUGCCCAUAUACCCUUGACUACAUCAAAAUGUUCAAAGCCCCCUCCCCCCACAAUCCAUUGGACGUAUUCAAAUCCCAUGUUUUACCCUGACCCAAAUGAGCUAUACUAAACCAAUAAGAACCAGCCUGCAAGCACGACGACCAUUUCAGGAACUCUUUGGUCAACGCGGAGCCUUCCAUUCAACACAAAUUCCCAGCAUAAGCGUACACACGC
rnacentral:lncRNA from 1 species